rnacentral:lncRNA from 1 species
CUCAGUGCAGGCCUUGCAGAAGAGGGCUUCAGGGCAGAAGGGGGCUUCAGGGUAGAAGGCGGCUUCAGGGCAGAAGGGGGCCUCGGGGCAGAACGGGGGCCUUAGGGCAGAACAGGGCUUCUUGAAGGAGGCUUUGAAUGGCUGAGAGGAGCUGUUAGAUUUGUUACAAGGGACUCCAGAAAGCUGUGAGGGUUCUACUGCUGGUGACCCAGAUGGCAAAGAAUCUGUCUGCAACUCGGAAGAUCUGGCUUCAAUCCCUAGGUCAGGAAGAUCCCCCGGAGAAGGGAAUGGCAACCCACUCCAGUAUUCUUGCCUGGAGAAGUCCAUGGACAGAGGAGCUUGGUAGGCUAUAGUCCACGGGGUCGCAGAGAGUUGGACAUGACAGAGCGACUAACAUGUUCACGAUCACAGUUGAUUUAAAAUAUUGUGUUCGUUUCAGGUGUACAGCAAAGCGAUUCUGUUAUACAUGUAUUGUAUAUAUCUAUAUUCUUUUUUAAAAAUUCUUUUCCAUUGUAGUUUAUUAUAAGAUACUGAAUAUAGUCCCCUGUGCUGUGUAACACAUCCCUGCUGUUGCUGUGAGGUUCUUGAUCAGCACUGUAUAAUAUAAUAAAAAAUCCCCUUCUUGCCUCUCACACAGUGGUUUGCCCACCUAGGAGAUCUACGAUAGGCAGUCAGACUGGUCCAGCCUGCAGACACUCAGUGACCCACACCCCUCCCCAUAACCACCUGGUUAUUCUAGCCUCUUCUCAGAGGCUUCACGGCUAGAGCUGGGUGUUGGAUCUGGCUUCUUCCUCCGAAGACAAUUUAUGGCGACACGUCGGAGACUCUGUUUUAAUGAAGUUGCAAAACCCGAGUUCUCUGCCCUGUUCAGGCCCAGGAAGAAGCACGGGCUUUGUGGCCUUUUAGACUACCUUAUCGGAGAAGGCAAUGGCACCCCACUCCAGUACUCUUGCCUGGAAAAUCCCACAGAUGGAGGAGCCUGGUGAGCUGCCGUCUAUGGGGUCACACAGAGUUGGACACGACUGAAGUAACUCAGCAGCAGCAGCAGCAGACUACCUUAUAGAAAUCCCAGAGGAGCCCUACUGUAAAGCCCAGAGAACCCACAUAAUCUCCAGGGAAACACCAAUAUCCUUAGCCUUACACCAGCAUCCAGAAUCUAUACACACAUCUCCAAACCCAUUGUAACACCAAGGACUCCCCAGCCCAGGCAUUGCUACUGUGCCACCCCAAGCGUGGCACACCAACGCAGGCCCCUGCAGGAGCACCUGAGCCUCAAGCUGGCCUUCUUGCUCCCCUGCACUUGUUUUCUUUCCUAACCCAGACUGGACAUUCUUCUUGAAGACUCCAAAGUCUUCACUGGAUCCUGCCCGCAUAGUUUCACUGUGGCAGAGGAAAGGGUGGGUAGGCAAGGCGUGGGUGUGGGUUGGGUGGCUCAUGGAGGAUGUCAGGACCCAGUCAGCUACCAACUCGUCCGAUGUCUGAAGAGCUCCAAUGUCUGAAGAGCUCAGGCAGGAGGCCUAGAGGUCAGACCUUGGGAGGCCUUGCCUGAAUCGGUCGGGCCUGGGUUUAUUCAUAGGUGGGUAAGCAGAAUGAGGAUGUGGCGGAGGUGGCUCCUCUUUUCCUUGGUCUCAGCUAAAGGACCCCGCUCCCUAGAGAUACAGGGGAAGUAGGGGGUCUGGGAGGACAGCAGACCAGAUGGCCUGGGAGGGCCAGGGAAACCCAGAAGCCAUGGGCGUUUACACCUGGGGUUCUGUGGACACAUCCACUGAUGUAAAAGGAGACAGGACUGCUGGGUCCCCUGGACACACAUCUGUCUGCAUGCCUGCUGUACAAGUGUUUUGGGCCUAGAUUGGGGGCAGGCAUGGGAGGGCAAGAUGAAGGGGGGAUUGGGAAAUGGCAUUUCAGAGGGAGGACACACAGGCCUGGUCUGUUAGUCUGGUGACAGGGGACACUCACAUCUAGGACCUGAUUUAGCAGGAGCUGGAG